rnacentral:rRNA from 1 species
GUGGCGGACGGGUGAGUAAUGCUUGGGAAUCUGGCUUAUGGAGGGGGAUAACUACGGGAAACUGUAGCUAAUACCGCGUAGUGUCGAGAGACGAAAGGGUGGGACCUUCGGGCCACCUGCCAUAAGAUGAGCCCAAGUGGGAUUAGGUAGUUGGUGGGGUAAAGGCCUACCAAGCCGACGAUCUCUAGCUGGUCUGAGAGGAUGACCAGCCACACUGGAACUGAGACACGGUCCAGACUCCUACGGGAGGCAGCAGUGGGGAAUAUUGCACAAUGGGGGGAACCCUGAUGCAGCCAUGCCGCGUGAAUGAAGAAGGCCUUCGGGUUGUAAAGUUCUUUCGGUGAUGAGGAAGGUGUUUGUUUUAAUAGAACAAGCAAUUGACGUUAGUCACAGAAGAAGCACCGGCUAACUCCGUGCCAGCAGCCGCGGUAAUACGGAGGGUGCGAGCGUUAAUCGGAAUGACUGGGCGUAAAGGGCACGCAGGCGGUGACUUAAGUGAGAUGUGAAAGCCCCGAGCUUAACUUGGGAAUUGCAUUUCAUACUGGGUCGCUAGAGUAUUUUAGGGAGGGGUAGAAUUCCACGUGUAGCGGUGAAAUGCGUAGAGAUGUGGAGGAAUACCGAAGGCGAAGGCAGCCCCUUGGGAAUAUACUGACGCUCAUGUG